UCCCACUUCUGCCCCUUUCCCGCCGGGUGACGGGGUCAAGUUCAUGUCCCCCUCUGAGGUGACGCCGAGUGAGCUGGUGCASGUGAGGGUCCGGAUCCGGGCCAGGCCCGGCCAGUGCUGGCCACGGGACAGCAGCACUCACCCUCCCUGCAGCCUGUGGAGAGUACUGGAAGGCCAGCUCUCCCGGCCGCGCACAGCCCCCAGCCUCAGACCUCUCACCUGCGCAGGAGGCGACGGGACUUUGAGAGGUUCCCCGCGAUGGAGGCCUGCUGGCCUCUCCUCCUCAGUCCUCUAGCCUCGUGGGCCUCCUGUGGCUGCACCGAUCACGGAGCGCACACCGMGAAGGGCAGGGAGCUGGCGGGCCCUUCUGCUGCCGUGUCCCUGUGUCCCAGAUGAGGAAACUGGGGGCCAGAGAGGUUAAGACAUUUGCCCAAGACACACAGCAGCAAYAGGCAGAGCUGGGCUCUGAACUCAGAAGCACCGGAGGCCUCAGGAGCAGCUGGGGUGGCAGUGGCA